rnacentral:rRNA from 1 species
UACAGAGGCCUCGAGCGUUAGUCGGAAUCACUGGGCUUAAAGCGUGUGUAGGCGGACUUCUAAGUACCUUGUGAAAUCCCACGGCUCACCCGUGGAACUGCUCGGUAUACUGGUCGUCUUGAGCCUUCUAGGGGCGAGUGGAACAAAUGGUGGAGCGGUGAAAUGCGUAGAUAUCAUUUGGAACGCCAAUGGUGAAAACAACUCGCUGGGGAAGUGCUGACGCUGAGACACGAAAGCCAGGGGAGCGAACGGG